AAUAGAUACCCGGGUAGUCCACCCCGUAAACGUUGGGAACUAGUUGUGGGGUCCUUUCCACGGAUUCCGUGACGCAGCUAACGCAUUAAGUUCCCCGCCUGGGGAGUACGGCCGCAAGGCUAAAACUCAAAGGAAUUGACGGGGACCCGCACAAGCGGCGGAGCAUGCGGAUUAAUUCGAUGCAACGCGAAGAACCUUACCAAGGCUUGACAUACACCAGAACACCCUAGAAAUAGGGGACUCUUUGGACACUGGUGAACAGGUGGUGCAUGGUUGUCGUCAGCUCGUGUCGUGAGAUGUUGGGUUAAGUCCCGCAACGAGCGCAACCCUCGUUCUAUGUUGCCAGCACGUAAUGGUGGGAACUCAUGGGAUACUGCCGGGGUCAACUCGGAGGAAGGUGGGGAUGACGUCAAAUCAUCAUGCCCCUUAUGUCUUGGGCUUCACGCAUGCUACAAUGGCCGGUACAAAGGGCUGCAAUACCGUGAGGUGGAGCGAAUCCCGAAAAGCGGUCCAGUUCGGAUUGAGGUCUGCAACUCGACUCAUG
rnacentral:rRNA from 1 species